AGUGUGAAGGCAUAGAGCCUUCACUUUUGUACACCGUAAGGUGGUGCACGAAUAAGGACUGGGCAAGACCGGUGCCAGCCGCCGCGGUAAUACCGGCAGUCCGAGUGAUGGCCGAUCUUAUUGGGCCUAAAGCGUCCGUAGCUGGCUGAACAAGUCCGUUGGGAAAUCUGUCCGCUUAACGGGCAGGCGUCCAGCGGAAACUGUUCAGCUUGGGACCGGAAGACCUGAGGGGUACGUCUGGGGUAGGAGUGAAAUCCUGUAAUCCUGGACGGACCGCCGGUGGCGAAAGCGCCUCAGGAGAACGGAUCCGACAGUGAGGGACGAAAGCUAGGGUCUCGAACCGGAUUAGAUACCCGGGUAGUCCUAGCUGUAAACGAUGUCCGCUAGGUGUGGCGCAGGCUACGAGCCUGCGCUGUGCCGUAGGGAAGCCGAGAAGCGGACCGCCUGGGAAGUACGUCUGCAAGGAUGAAACUUAAAGGAAUUGGCGGGGGAGCACUACAACCGGAGGAGCCUGCGGUUUAAUUGGACUCAACGCCGGACAUCUCACCAGCCCCGACAGUAGUAAUGACGGUCAGGUUGAUGACCUUACCCGAGGCUACUGAGAGGAGGUGCAUGGCCGCCGUCAGCUCGUACCGUGAGGCGUCCUGUUAAGUCAGGCAACGAGCGAGACCCGCACUCUUAAUUGCCAGCAGUACCCUUUGGGUAGCUGGGUACAUUAGGUGGACUGCCGCUGCCAAAGCGGAGGAAGGAAUGGGCAACGGUAGGUCAGUAUGCCCCGAAUGGGCUGGGCAACACGCGGGCUACAAUGGUCGAGACAAUGGGAAGCCACUCCG
rnacentral:rRNA from 1 species